rnacentral:rRNA from 1 species
UACGUAGGGUGCGAGCGUUAAUCGGAAUUACUGGGCGUAAAGCGUGCGCAGGCGGUUCGCUGUGUCCGAUGUGAAAGCCCCGGGCUUAACCUGGGAAUGGCAUUGGAAACUGGCGGGCUUGAGUGUGGCAGAGGGGGGUGGAAUUCCGCGUGUAGCAGUGAAAUGCGUAGAGAUGCGGAGGAACACCGAUGGCGAAGGCAGCCCCCUGGGCUAACACUGACGCUCGAGGCACGAAAGCGUGGGGAGCAAACAGG